rnacentral:misc_RNA from 1 species
UACGAAGGGGGCUAGCGUUGUUCGGAAUUACUGGGCGUAAAGCGCACGCAGGCGGCGUGAUCAGUCAGAAGUGAAAGCCCCGGGCUCAACCUGGGAACUGCUUUUGAUACUGUCAUGCUAGGAUCCGUGAGAGGGCAGUGGAAUUCCGAGUGUAGAGGUGAAAUUCGUAGAUAUUCGGAAGAACACCAGUGGCGAGGGCGACUGCCUGGCACGGUAUCGACGCUCAUGUGCGACAGCGUGGGGAGCAAACAGG